UACAGAGGUCUCAAGCGUUGUUCGGAUUCAUUGGGCGUAAAGGGUGCGUAGGCGGUUUGGCAAGUCUUGUGUGAAAUCUUCGGGCUCAACCCGAAGUCUGCACAAGAAACUGCCGGGCUUGAGUAUGGGAGAGGUGAGUGGAAUUUCCGGUGUAGCGGUGAAAUGCGUAGAUAUCGGAAGGAACACCUGUGGCGAAAGCGGCUCACUGGACCAUAACUGACGCUGAUGCACGAAAGCUAGGGGAGCAAACAGG
rnacentral:rRNA from 1 species